UGGGGAAUAUUGGGCAAUGGAGGAAACUCUGACCCAGCGACGCCGCGUGCGGGGUGAAGGCCUUCGGGUUGUAAACCGCUUUCAGUAGGGAAGAAGCGAAAGUGACGGUACCUACAAAAGAAGCACCGGCUAACUAUGUGCCGGCAGCCGCGGUAAUACAUAGGGUGCAAGCGUUGUCCGGAAUUAUUGAGCGUAAAGAGCUCGUAGGUCGUUUGUUACGUCGGAUGUAAAGACCUGAAACUCAACCUCAGGCCUGCAUUCGAUACGAGCAAACUAAAGUUUGGUAGGAAAGACUGGAAUUCCUGAUAUAGCGAUGGAAUGCGCAGAUAUCAGGAGGAACACCAAUGGCGAAGGCAGGUCUCUGGGCCAAUACUGACACUGAGGAGCGAAGGUCUGGGGAGCAAACAGG
rnacentral:rRNA from 1 species